rnacentral:rRNA from 1 species
GACGAACGCUGGCGGCGUGCUUAACACAUGCAAGUCGAACGGAAAGGCCCUGCUUUUGUGGGGUGCUCGAGUGGCGAACGGGUGAGUAACACGUGAGUAACCUGCCCUUGACUUUGGGAUAACUUCAGGAAACUGGGGCUAAUACCGGAUAGGAGAUCCUGCUGCAUGGUGGGGGUUGGAAAGUUUCGGCGGGUGGGGAUGGACUCGCGGCUUAUCAGCUUGUUGGUGGGGGAGUGGCUUACCAAGGCUUUGACGGGUAGCCGGCCUGAGAGGGUGACCGGCCACAUUGGUACUGAGAUACGGCCCAGACUCCUACGGGAGGCAGCAGUGGGGAAUAUUGCACAAUGGGCGGAAGCCUGAUGCAGCAACGCCGCGUGCGUGAUGACGGCCUUCGGGUUGUAAACCGCUUUCGCCUGUGACGAAGCGUGAGUGACGGUAAUGGGUAAAGAAGCACCGGCUAACUACGUG